rnacentral:snRNA from 1 species
UGCGGUUUGGCGUGGUUUGC